GACGAACGCUGGCGGCGUGCUUAACACAUGCAAGUCGAACGUGAUUUUUGUGGAAAGCCCUUCGGGGACGGAAAUGAAACGAAAGUGGCGAACGGGUGAGUAACACGUGAGCAACCUACCUUACACAGGGGGAUAGCCGUUGGAAACGACAAUUAAUACCGCAUGAGACCACAAAGCCACAUGGCUUAGGGGUAAAAGAUUUAUCGGUGUAAGAUGGGCUCGCGUCUGAUUAGCUAGUUGGAAGGGUAAAGGCCUACCAAGGCAACGAUCAGUAGCCGGUCUGAGAGGAUGAACGGCCACAUUGGAACUGAGACACGGUCCAAACUCCUACGGGAGGCAGCAGUGGGGAAUAUUGCACAAUGGGGGGAACCCUGAUGCAGCGACGCCGCGUGAGCGAAGAAGGUUUUCGAAUCGUAAAGCUCUGUCCUAUGAGAAGAUAAUGACGGUAUCAUAGGAGGAAGCCCCGGCUAAAUACGUGCCAGCAGCCGCGGUAAUACGUAUGGGGCGAGCGUUGUCCGGAAUUAUUGGGCGUAAAGGGUACGUAGGCGGCCUUUUAAGUCAGGUGUGAAAGCGUGAGGCUUAACCUCAUUAAGCACUUGAAACUGGAAGGCUUGAGUGAAGGAGAGGAAAGUGGAAUUCCUAGUGUAGCGGUGAAAUGCGUAGAUAUUAGGAGGAAUACCGGUGGCGAAGGCGACUUUCUGGACUUUUACUGACGCUCAGGUACGAAAGCGUGGGGAGCAAACAGG
rnacentral:rRNA from 1 species